UAGAACAUAGGUGGGUGGAAUAAACAGAAUAGGAUGCUGGGCGGAAGAGGAAGUGAGGUCAGACUCUGCUCUGCUUCCGGGGAGACCCGACAGCUCUGCUCUCUAGAGCAGAGACGCCAUGCUCCGCUCUCCUGAUAGCUCUGCUCUCUGAGGCACACGCGAUGAAGCUCCAACCCAAGAUGGACAUAGGCUAGAAUCGUCCCGCUCAUAUCUGCAAGCCGCUGGGAGCCCGACAGGAAAGAGAACUCACCCCUGGAUCGUUCACGAGAAAGAACUGCCAUGAGAAGAUUACUUACAGUGCUGUGGGCAAGACUGGGUCACCGAGAGACAGAGACAGCAGGACACUGCUACCGCCUGUGAGGAAGGAUGGACAAGAUGGGGAAGUCAUGCCACCACCCUCCGAGGCCAGGAGGACGAGUAUGUGGAGAAAGUCUCCCCUAUGGGCUGAUGUGGCAGAAGCCCUCAGCCCCAGUCCGGGGCACAUCUCCCCACAGAUGUACCCCCAGUUGUCUCGUCUCAGCCCUGAGUGUCCUGCUGGUUCUCACUGUUGAUCCAACCCAGAAGAGAAGCCAGCUCAAAAGAAUGCCAGGCUAGGUCGCCAGGGUCACAGUUCAAGUCAGCCUCCGAGGCCCAGAUGCAGCAAAGAGAGCGAAGAACAGAUCCUCCCUGUUUGUCCUUCAGGCGUGUGUGUGACACUGGGAUAUAAAAAAAAAUAUGUAUUUGUUCGUUGACAUAGCUCCUCUGGUGGUUAGAAUGAGAAAGGUCCCAUAGGCUCAGAUAUUUGAAGUCCUGGCCCUCCGUUGGUGGACUGCUUUGGAAGGAUUAGGAGGUGCAGCCGUGUUAGAGAAAGUGUUCCUCCAACUGGGGACUAAGUGUUCAAAUAUAUGAGCCUAUGCGGGCCAUUCUCGUUCAUUCAAAUUGCUGCACCUGGGGUGGCUUUGGUGGCUGUUGAUGGUCUAGCACCCUAACCUACUGAGAUCUGUUCACUUAGAAUGAGAAAGUCUCAACACACCUAAGGACCCACAACCCCCCCCCUUUUCAGUAAUACACAGCCAAGAGAUUGAGGCAACCUUCUCAAGAGAGACUUUUUCAACAGUAUGUGUGUGUGUGUGUUUAUGUGUGUGUGUUUUAAAGCUACAUUGUUCAAGGGAUGUUAAUCUAUAUAUAAGCUUAAAAGAUUAAGAAAAACAUGGGUAUACUUAUUUUUAUAUGAGAUUACAAGGUAGUUAAUGAGUUUAUCAUUUUUACAGAUAAGGAAGGAAUGCUGAGAAACUAAUAGGAAAUCAAUAAAGGUCACACUGUAACCUUGAUCCUAGGCAGACAGGCCUUGCAGCAGAGAUUUCCCAAGAGCUUGCCCAAGUGCAAAGUUGGAGUGUUUAACAGGGCAACCCCAACCAUAGGGAGGACAAAAAAACUGGACUUUUCUUUUCUCUGCUCAAGCACAAGGAAGGAGAUAACAGAGAAGAAAUUGUGAAGAGCUGAUGAGGUCCUGCGUGAACGUGUAGUAUUGACGUGAGCCACACUAUGUCAAGGACCACAAAGCUUCAAACCCAUGGGAAUGGCGAUGCCCCCAACCCCGUGCCCCGGGCAGGGCAGAGGAAUGGCAACACUUCCCUUUAGUCCCGGUACUAAGCUGAGAACGGUUGACAUUUGGCUAAAACCAGAGUGUGUCGAAAGUGUCGAUGUAGUCUCCUCCUCCAUUAUGACUGAAAUCUGAGACCGCUCCCCUACGGAGACGCCCUACCGAGAUUAGCUAACCGCCUUGCACUGAGUUCCAGGCUGCUGUUGGGGCGUCUCCAUCAGAGCACAUUACCCCAUCCCUGCUUUUCUGUAUCUGUGUUCCUUGUUUCUGCAUUCCGCUGCAGCCCCAGUCAGGCCACUCACUAAGCUGUACAGGUAGUGACAAGAAAUAGAAGCCCCAGGCCUACCAGUCGCAUUCUUACUUGGCUUUGCCCAGCUGUUUUUCUUUUCCUUAUUAAAAUUUAUUUAGUUGUU